UGUAUAUUGGUGUAAAGUGCACAUAAGAUUUUGAUUCUUAAAGCGGGAUAAUCGUCCCAUAUGCAA
rnacentral:tRNA from 1 species